rnacentral:rRNA from 1 species
CCAAUAGCGUAUAUUAAAGUUGUUGCAGUUAAAAAGCUCGUAGUUGAAUUUCGAGAUCAGUACGCUGGUCGUGCCUUCGGUAUGCACUGGUGUCACUGGUUUCUCCCUUCUGAAGAACCGUCAUGCCAUUCAGUUGGUGUGGCGGGGAAUCAGGACUGUUACUUUGAAAAAAUUAGAGUGUUUAAAGCAGGCUCGCGCUUGAAUACAUUAGCAUGGAAUAAUGAAAUAGGACGUUUGACCCUAUUUUGUUGGUUUCUAGGAUCGACGUAAUGAUUAAUAGGGAUAGUUGGGGGCAUUAGUAUUCAAUUGUCAGAGGUGAAAUUCUUGGAUUUAUUGAAGACUAACUACUGCGAAAGCAUUUGCCAAGGAUGUUUUCAUUAAUCAAGAACGAAAGUUAGGGGAUCGAAGACGAUCAGAUACCGUCGUAGUCCUAACCAUAAACUAUGCCGACUAGGGAUCGGAUGAUGUUAAUUUUUUAAUGACUCAUUCGGCGCCUUACG